AUCUGGAGGGUCAGUUGCUGUCUCUCUCUUGAAUAAAGUAUAAUCUUCUACUCUUUCUACAUCUGAAGCUAUGGAGCUAUGGUGUCUGAAGAAGUGGCAGUCACAGCACGAGUGAAGCCAUCUCUGCAUGAGAGACUCUGCUACACACAGUUUUCAAGGCAUUUGCAUCGUUCUGUUAACACUGACUGGAUGGUUCAGGAAUCCUAUUUGUGAAUCCAGAUUCUAGGGUGUGUA